rnacentral:rRNA from 1 species
UCGCCGAAAGACCAAGGGUUCCUGCGUAAAGCUAAUCUGCGCAGGGUUAGCCGGCCCCUAAGGCGAGGCCGAAAGGCGUAGUCGAUGGGAACACAGUUAAUAUUCUGUGGCCUGGGAGUGUGUGACGGAUUUCGAAAGUUGUCUUUCCUUAUUGGAUUGGAAAGGCAGCCUGGAAGUCCCUGGAAAUAGCCCUCCCGCAAGACCGUACCCUAAACCGACACAGGUGGACUGGCAGAGCAUGCCAAGGCGCUUGAGAGAACGAUGCUGAAGGAACUCGGCAAAUUACCUCCGUAACUUCGGGAGAAGGAGGCCUCAUACUGGGCAACCAGCUAUGAGGGGCACAGACCAGGGGGUUGCGACUGUUUAUCAAAAACACAGGGCUGUGCGAAGCCGUAAGGCGACGUAUACAGUCUGACGCCUGCCCGGUGCCGGAAGGUUAAAAGGA